UGAUUCUCUUUAUGCCAUUUUCAAUCACAAAAAUAUAAACAUCCACUACUAAUAUAUUUAUACAUAAACAUUAAUAUUGUAUUUUAAAGCACAACAUAGUUUAAUCAUAAGGUAGUUUACAUUGGUAUAUAUGAAUACAUACUGUACUAAUCAAUUUAGUAACUGUGCCAAUUAAAUAUAUAUAUUCAUUUCAUUAUCAACAAAUUCGGCAAAAACAUGUUUUAAGUUUUCUCCAAUUUGCAAAAGGAGUAGGUUCAGUAAGACCCCUUUUUGGCUCCAAAAUAUAGCAGUUUUACAAAAUUGUUUAAAUGUAAACUUUUAGUUAUUUUUUGGAAGGUAUAAUGCCUCUGCUACAUAAAUAUGGACUGUUUUUGGCAUAACAAAUUAACAAUGCACAUAUAUCGGAUACUUGCAUCAUAAAGUUAUGCUAAAUUACUGAAAUCUUCACAAUUUCAGCAUUUUAGUUGAAUUUUAGACGAUUUCGUUAAAUGAAGUGGCCAUUGGUUCAUUCUUCAUAUUGAAAUGUGAGUUGUGUUUAAUGAUAAUACAUACAUAACAUAUAUAAAGGUCUAGGAUGAACAGUUUUUUUUAACACGGAUGCAGCCACUUUCAUUUUUUGUCAAAAACCAUCUAAAAAGUGACAGUUUUUGGCAUACUUGAUAGAUUUUUCAUAUUUAAGCUAGAAUCAGAGCGUUUUUAAUGAGUGAAUCAGUUAAAAUCUUUCACAAAAAAUGAUUGAAUCAAUUGAAAUAGACAUUUAGGUGUUUAAAAAGUGUCAAAAAUCUUUCGUCAGAUGAACUUGAAUUUAGGCCAAAACCGGCCCUUUACUCCUUUAAAAAAAGAAAAAUAUAAAACCAGGUUCAAUCCACCAUUUUCUACAUUUGAAAAUGUCUGUGGUAUGACAGUUGUUGCUCAUUUGUUUUGCCAUUUGAUUAGGGACUUUCUGUUUAGAAUUUUCAUCGGAGAUCAGUUUUUUUGAGAUUUAAUUUUUCACUAGCUUUUUCAAAGGUGUUUACUGGAAUUUUUAAUGGUGUAUGUUGACCAGACACAUAUCAAAUAACAUAAUUCACCUUUCAUUUCUUUUACGGGUACAUUAAAUUUUGUGUAUUUACAAAAUUUAUUAUAGGAGUUGAAAUAGUGCAGGGAGGGAAAGCAGGAGACUUUUGGACUCACUUUUUAUAAAAUUUAAUGACAUACAUAUGUAAAAUGUGUCUCCAAUAUUAUAAUUUUGACAGAAAAUAUGUGAUUAUAUUAAAGAACAUAUUAUAACUCUAGAUCAGCAUUUUUUUCCUACUCAAUCACUAGUCUAGGGAUACUAGGAAAAU
rnacentral:lncRNA from 1 species